rnacentral:rRNA from 1 species
CCUUAGAGUUUGAUCCUGGCUCAAGAUGACCUUUUGCUACAGGCUUAACACAUGCAAGUCGAGGGGCAGCAUGAACUUAUCUUGCUAAGUUUGAUGGCGACCGGCGCACGGGUGAGUAACACGUAUCCAACCUUCCGUUUACUCAGGGAUAGCCUUUCAAAAGAAAGAUUAAUACCUGAUAGUAUGGUGAGAUUGCAUGAUAGCACCAUUAAAGAUUUAUUGGUAAACGAUGGGGAUGCGUUCCAUUAGGUAGUAGGCGGGGUAACGGCCCACCUAGCCGACGAUGGAUAGGGGUUCUGAGAGGAAGGUCCCCCACAUUGGAACUGAGACACGGUCCAAACUCCUACGGGAGGCAGCAGUGAGGAAUAUUGGUCAAUGGGCGAGAGCCUGAACCAGCCAAGUAGCGUGAAGGAUGAAGGUCCUACGGAUUGUAAACUUCUUUUAUACGGGAAUAAAGUAUCCUACGUGUAGGAUUUUGUAUGUACCGUAUGAAUAAGCAUCGGCUAACUCCGUGCCAGCAGCCGCGGUAAUACGGAGGAUGCGAGCGUUAUCCGGAUUUAUUGGGUUUAAAGGGAGCGCAGACGGGAGAUUAAGUCAGUUGUGAAAGUUUGCGGCUCAACCGUAAAAUUGCAGUUGAUACUGGUUUCCUUGAGUGCAGUUGAGGCAGGCGGAAUUCGUGGUGUAGCGGUGAAAUGCUUAGAUAUCACGAAGAACCCCGAUUGCGAAGGCAGCUUGCUAAACUGUAACUGACGUUCAUGCUCGAAAGUGUGGGUAUCAAACAGGAUUAGAUACCCUGGUAGUCCACACGGUAAACG